UACGGAGGGUGCGAGCGUUGUCCGGAAUCACUGGGCGUAAAGGGCGCGUAGGCGGCGCGGGUAGUCAACGGUGAAAGCUCAGGGCUCAACCCUGAGUCGGCCGUCGAUACUCCCGUGCUUGAGCACUGUAGAGGCAGGUGGAAUUCCAGGUGUAGCGGUGAAAUGCGUAGAUAUCUGGAGGAACACCGGUGGCGAAGGCGGCAUCCUGGACCGGCAUUGACGCUGAGGCGCGAAAGCCAGGGGAGCAAACGGG
rnacentral:rRNA from 1 species